rnacentral:rRNA from 1 species
GACGAACCGAGCGAACGUUGUUCGGAAUCACUGGGCUUAAAGGGCGCGUAGGCGGGUGCUCAAGUCCGGGGUGAAAUCCUCCAGCUCAACUGGAGAACUGCCUCGGAUACUGGGCGUCUCGAGGGUGGCAGGGGUAUGCGGAACUAUCGGUGGAGCGGUGAAAUGCGUUGAUAUCGCUAGGAACUCCGGUGGCGAAGGCGAGACGCUGGAUCUUUUCUGACGCUGAGGCGCGAAAGCCAGGGGAGCGAACGGG